ACUUUCGUUAUCAUUUCUUUUGUCUGUGCGUAUACCUAACACUGUCCUAUAGUUACAUGCCCAUAUAAUAGCUUCUCACAGCUACAAGCCUUCUCAUAAGUGAAUUCUAAACGAAGAUGGAUGACCUAGAAAUUAUUUUUAUAAACUCGCAACCUGAGACAACUAUAGAUCUGGACACCCAGCCCGACUCCGUGGACCUUUCGCUGAUUUCGGAAUUAAAACGCAAGAAUAUAUAAGGCAAUGGAAUGUCUUAAGUGAUAUUGUAUGGGAUGAUAGUCUAGAUGACCUAAUGGCUGCUGCUCCGAUUGACGAAAUUCAAACAUUCGACUUCCCGGAUGAUGACAGUAUAUUCGAUUUGGUCGAUGAUAAUGACGAAGGGGACAGAAAACGAUUCGGGGAACUUCUUCGCGACGAAGAUAAUGCCGAAUUAAUAGCUGUGCUAGAAAGAGCCGAGACGCAAUUUUAAUAAUAUUC
rnacentral:lncRNA from 1 species